GAUGAACGCUGACAGAAUGCUUAACACAUGCAAGUCAACUGUGGCGGACGGGUGAGUAACGCGUAAAGAACUUGCCUCACAGAUAGGGACAACCUUUGGAAACGAAUGCUAAUCCCUGAUACUGUGAGAGGUCUUUGCGUCCCAUUAGCUAGUUGGAGAGGUAACGGCUCACCAAGGCGAUGAUGGGUAGCCGGCCUGAGAGGGUGAUGGGCCACAAGGGGACUGAGACACGGCCCUUACGCAUACGGGAGGCAGCAGGGGGGAAUAUUGGACAAUGGACCAAAGUCUGAUCCAGCAAUUCUGUGUGCAAGAUGAAGUUGUCGGAAUGUAAAGUGCUUUCAGUUGGGAAGCAGUACCAACAGAAGAAGCGACGGCUAAAUACGUGCCAGCCGCCGCGGUAAUUC
rnacentral:rRNA from 1 species